rnacentral:lncRNA from 1 species
AGGAUCAUGUCAAGAUAAACAUCCAGUGAGACCAGAACAGGCGCUCUCCUUUGACUGAAAUAAUAAAAAGUUGACUCAAAGUCGCUUGCAGAUGAGUAAGCCUCUCCCAGCCCUAGAAAACUGAUGAGGAUUAUAAGGAAGUCAUUUCCUCAGACUCUAGCUUAGAGAAGGGUUUAAUGGUUGAGAGGGGGGUGGUUCACCCUGCACUUGUGCCUGAAAUGUUUAAUUUCAGGUUUGUGUUUGGACCCCUUAACGUGUCAGAGUGGCUAUCAGAAUAACCUUGGCCUUUCUGAAGGGUAGGCUUACCACCUAAAUCACUACUAAAUAUUGUUGGCGUGACAGACUUCCUAGGACCGUACCCUAACUGUAGAAUGCCAGUUCCCACCC